rnacentral:rRNA from 1 species
UGGGAACCUUCCCUAUGGUUAGGAAUAGCCAGGGAAACUUGGGGUAAUACCGAAUAAGCCCUUCGGGGGAAAGAUUUAUCGCCAUUGGAUGGGCCCGCGUCGGAUUAGCUAGUUGGUGGAGUAACGGCCACCAAGGCAACGAUCCGUAGCUGGUCUGAGAGGAUGAUCAGCCACACUGGGACUGAGACACGGCCCAGACUCCUACGGGAGGCAG